AAUAGAGCUUUGUGCAAGAGUAGAGUUAACAAGUAAAACCUCUUUGCAUUCACUUACCUCUAAGUUCUAUUCCGAUGGCCCCCGUACCCCUUUCUCCAGUCAGGGUUGGGCACAUUGAUGAUGUCCAAGAACUAAGAAACGCUAAACCAACUACAAUUCCAGAAAGAUUUGUAAGGGACAUGACAGAGAGGCCAACACUAGCCACAGCUCUAUCAUCAACUAGUGACAUUCCAGUUAUUGAUUUCUCCAAGCUUAUAAAAGGAGACAAAGAUGAAGUCCAUAUUGAAAUUUUGAAGCUUGGAAUAGCUUGUGAGGAGUGGGGAUUCUUUCAGGUAAUCAACCAUGACAUUGAGCUUAGUUUGCUUGAGAGCAUAGAGAAGCUGGCCAAGGAAUUCUUCAUGCUACCUCUGGAAGAGAAACAAAAAUACCCAAUGAUACCAGGGACUCUUCAAGGAUAUGGGCAGGCAUUUGUGUUCUCAGAGGACCAAAAGCUGGAUUGGUGCAACAUGUUUGCUCUUGGGGUUGAGCCCCAAUACAUAAGGAACCCCAAAUUAUGGCCAACAAAGCCAGCCAAGUUCAGUGAAACUGUAGAGCUUUACUCAAAAGAAGUGAGGGCACUCUGCAAUAAUCUGUUGAAAUAUAUAGCCAUGAGCCUAGGAUUGAGACAACAAGCCUUUGAAGAGAUGUUUGGGGUGGCUGUGCAGGCCAUAAGGAUGAACUACUACCCAGCAUGUUCAAGGCCUGACCUUGUUUUAGGUCUAAGCCCACAUUCAGAUGGAAGUGCCCUCACAGUGCUGCAGCAAGGAAAGGGCAGCUCAGUAGGACUGCAAAUCCUUAAAGAUAACACAUGGGUGCCUGUUCAGCCCAUCCCAAAUGCUCUAGUAAUCAACAUUGGUGACACAAUAGAAGUUCUUUCAAAUGGUAAAUACAAGAGUGUGGAGCACAGAGCAGUGACUCAUAAGGAGAAAGACAGACUCUCACUUGUCACAUUUUAUGCUCCUAGUUAUGGAAUAGAGCUUGGUCCAAUGCCAGAAUUUGUCGAUGAAAGCAACCCAUGCAAGUAUAGAAGGUACAAUCAUGGAGAGUACAGUAAACAUUAUGUAACAAGCAAGCUGCAAGGUAAAAAAGCCCUGGAUUUUGCCAAGAUUCACACAAAGAUCUCGAACUAGGAAGGCCGACUUAGCCCCCCUACCUUGGGAUACCCAUUAUUAAACUUUGUAUAAAGAGCACAAUAUGAUUAAGUAUCAGUUCUCUAUAUCUGGUAGAAAAAUAUAGACCAAAACACUAGUUAGUGGUAUUCUAUAUCAAAAUCAGUGUGGAUCAUUGGACUGCACUGUUCAUGUGUAUCUCCUUUCUGUAUUAGCCGUGAAUUAAUGGAAUCUUUUCUUUUCAA